CCUACGGGAGGCAGCAGUGAGGAAUAUUGGUCAAUGGACGAGAGUCUGAACCAGCCAAGUAGCGUGAAGGAUGACUGCCCUAUGGGUUGUAAACUUCUUUUAUAAAGGAAUAAAACGAGGCACGUGUGCCUUUUUGCAUGUACUUUAUGAAUAAGGAUCGGCUAACUCCGUGCCAGCAGCCGCGGUAAUACGGAGGAUCCGAGCGUUAUCCGGAUUUAUUGGGUUUAAAGGGAGCGUAAAUGGGUUGUUAAGUCAGUUGUGAAAGUUUGCGGCUCAACCGUAACAGUGCAAUUGAUACUGGCAGUCUUGAGUGCAGGUGAGGUAGGCGGAAUUCGUGGUGUAGCGGUGAAAUGCUUAGAUAUCACGAAGAACCCCGAUUGCGAAGGCAGCUUACUAACCUGUGACUGACAUUGAUGCUCGAAAGUGUGGGUAUCGAACAGGAUUAGAUACCCUGGUAGUC
rnacentral:rRNA from 1 species